rnacentral:rRNA from 1 species
GAUCAUGGCUCAGGAUGAACGCUGGCGGCGUGCUUAACACAUGCAAGUCGAACGAUUAACCCUUCUUCGGAAGGUCAUAAAGUGGCGAACGGGUGAGUAACACGUGACCAACCUGCCUCUCACAUUGGGAUAACUUAGAGAAAUCUAAGCUAAUACCAAAUACUCUUGAUCUGCCGCAUGACAGACCAAGGAAAGCUUUCGCGGUGAGAGAUGGGGUCGCGGCCCAUUAGGUAGUUGGUGGGG